UACGGAGGGUGCAAGCGUUGUCCGGAUUUAUUGGGUUUAAAGGGUGCGUAGGCGGCCCUGUAAGUCAGUGGUGAAAUACUGCAGCUUAACUGUAGCAUUGCCAUUGAUACUGCAGGGCUUGAGUACAGAUGAGGUAGCGGAAUUGAUGGUGUAGCGGUGAAAUGCAUAGAUACCAUCAAGAACACCCGAUUGCGAAGGCAGCUUACUAAGC
rnacentral:rRNA from 1 species